rnacentral:rRNA from 1 species
UACGUAGGGUGCGAGCGUUGUCCGGAAUUAUUGGGCGUAAGGGGCUCGUAGGCGGUCUGUCGCGUCGGGAGUGAAAACUCAGGGCUUAACCCUGAGCCUGCUUCCGAUACGGGCAGACUAGAGGUAUGCAGGGGAGAACGGAAUUCCUGGUGUAGCGGUGAAAUGCGCAGAUAUCAGGAGGAACACCAGUGGCGAAGGCGGUUCUCUGGGCAUUACCUGACGCUGAGGAGCGAAAGUGUGGGGAGCGAACAGG